GAUGAACGCUGGCGGCGUGCCUAAUACAUGCAAGUCGAGCGAACGGACGAGAAGCUUGCUUCUCUGAUGUUAGCGGCGGACGGGUGAGUAACACGUGGAUAACCUACCUAUAAGACUGGGAUAACUUCGGGAAACCGGAGCUAAUACCGGAUAAUAUUUUGAACCGCAUGGUUCAAAAGUGAAAGACGGUCUUGCUGUCACUUAUAGAUGGAUCCGCGCUGCAUUAGCUAGUUGGUAAGGUAACGGCUUACCAAGGCAACGAUGCAUAGCCGACCUGAGAGGGUGAUCGGCCACACUGGAACUGAGCCACGGUCCAGGCUCCUACGGGAGGCAGCAGUAGGGAAUCUUCCGCAAUGGGCGAAAGCCUGACGGAGCAACGCCGCGUGAGUGAUGAAGGUCUUCGGAUCGUAAAACUCUGUUAUUAGGGAAGAACAUAUGUGUAAGUAACUGUGCACAUCUUGACGGUACCUAAUCAGAAAGCCACGGCUAACUACGUG
rnacentral:rRNA from 1 species